rnacentral:rRNA from 1 species
GACGAACGCUGGAGGCGUGCUUAACACAUGCAAGUCGAACGAUGAAAUGGAGCUUGCUCCAUGGAUUAGUGGCGAACGGGUGAGUAACACGUGAAUAACCUGCCCUUAAUUUUGGAAUAACCCAGGGAAACCUGGGCUAAUACCGGAUAAGUAAACCUGUGGCAUCACAUGGUUUUGGAAAGUUUUUCGAUUAAGGAUGGAUUCGCGGCCUAUCAGCUUGUUGGUGAGGUAAUGGCCCACCAAGGCGACGACGGGUAGCCGGCCUGAGAGGGGGAACGGCCACACUGGGACUGAGACACGGCCCAGACUCCUACGGGAGGCAGCAGUGGGGAAUAUUGCGCAAUGGACGAAAGUCUGACGCAGCGACGCCUCGUGAGGGACGAAGGUCUUCGGAUUGUAAACCUCUUUCAGCAGGGACGAAGCGAAAGUGACGGUACCUGCAGAAGAAGCACCGGCUAACUAUGUGUCAGCCGCCGCGGUAA